ACAAACAAUACAGAAGUUUUUACUAACUUUGUUUAUGUAAUGCCACUUUCUUUUAUGGAUUUUUUUUUUUUUUUUUUGACACACAGUUUCUGUCACCCAGGCUGGAGUACAGUGGCACAAUCACAGCUCACUGCAGCCUCAACUUCCUGGGCUCAGGUGAUUCUCCUGCAUCAGCCUCCCGAGUAGCUGGGACUACAGGCAUGCACCAUCACACCGGCUAAUUUUUUGCAUUUUUAGUACAGAUGGGGUUUCACCAUGUUGGCCAGGCUGCUCUCUAACUCCUGGGCUCAAGUGAUCCACCCACCUCAGCCUCUCAAAGUGUUGGGAAUACAGACAGAAGCCACCGCGCCUAUCCUGUGAUGCCACUUUCUUUCAUGAAAACAACGGUGGCAGACAGAAGAUGUCUGGAAAUUCUUUGCUAUUUCUCCCAUUGAGAGGUGAGGACACAUUGAGAAGUCACUAUCUAUGAACUAGGAAGCAGGAUCUCAGCAGAUAUCGAAUCUACUGAUGACUUCAUCUUGGACUUCUCAGCCUCCAGAACUGUGAGAAAAAAGUUCUGUUGUUUAUAAGUCACUCAGUCUAUGGUAUUUUAUUACAGCAUCCCGAAUGGGCAAAGACAUGGGUGAAGUUAUCCAGGACCCUCCAAACCAGGCCAUUCACCUUCACCAGCUGAAUUCCACCGAGUGACCCCAGUUAGUGCACAUGGAACAGAAGAGUCACUCAGCUGAGCCCUGCUCAAAGCCCUAACCUACAAAAUUGUGAGAUAUAAUAAAGUGGUUGUUGUUUCAAGCCA